ensembl:lncRNA
GUGAAACAGACUGCCAGAGGAAGAGAGUGAAACAGACUGGAAGAGGAAGAGAGUGAAACAGACUGCCAGAGGAAGAGGGAGGGAAGUGGUGGGAGAAAGAGUGAAACAGACUGCCAGAGGAAGAGAGUGAAACAGACUGGAAGAGGAAGAGGAAGAGAGAGGGAAGUGGUGGGAGAAAGAGUGAAACAGACUGCCAGAGGAAGAGGAAGAGAGAGGGAAGUGGUGGGAGAAAGAGUGAAACAGACUGCCAGAGGAAGAGAAGACAGACUGGUGGGAGAAAGAGUGAAACAGACUGCCAGAGGAAG